GAUAACUAAGCUAGAUGGGAAAGAAAUUACCAGUUGGGUGUGACAUGCUGGUAGGCAUUUUUAAAAAGUUAAAUUUGGGGUGCAUUUUGAGAAAUGGAAGGAGGUGGGGAAUGUGUAUUUGAGAGAGAGAGGGUGCUGCGAAAACUAAGGAAAACAGCAGAGAGUUUGGAGAGAAUUUAGGAUACUGAUUUUAAAUAUAGAGAUUAGGGUAGAUUAUGUUGGAGAAGAACAAAGCACAAAGAGGCUUUCACAGUCAAUGGGGGUUUAUCUGAGCCCUGAACUAGAAAAACUCUUUUCCCCAGAGACCCCAAAUGGGAGCUCUGACUGUAGCUUGAUUCAGAUUGGGUCAAAAAGGUGGAAAUAGGUAGACAAGUCAAAAUAGACGGGGUUCUAGGAGGCUAUGGUAAUAAUAAUAUCAUUCCUGGAAAAAAUUGUUGAAGGCUUUAAACCUGAAGCAAGCCAGCUGGGUAACUUUUAUAUUCUUCUCUCACUUCUGAAUGUUCUUUGCCUUUAAAUGCUAUUGAACUAUAAUAGAGUUUCAUUAUGAACUUGAACCUUAUGUAUGCUAAAAAAGUGUGUUGAGCUAGAGAGGUGGGAGUUAGGGGGAAGGGCAUAGAAACUUGGUUCUUCGUGAAAGGUCUCCACCCUAGUGUACUUGUAGAUACCUGAGAGUGAGUGUUUUUUUCUUUCUUUAUUUUUUUACAGAACUCUUUGAAAGGGACUUUAUAAAAAUACACCCUAGAAUUUCACCGGGCAGAAAUUUCAGGUCAGAUAUAGGUGGGCCCACUUCCUCCCAUGCAACUCAACUCCACACCAUAGUUCCUCACAUCUCUAGGGGAAGUCUCCAUACCUUAUUCCAUUGCUCAUCACAUCUUAGCCUCUGGCUUUCUCACUGUAUUUACUAGAACAUCUUUCCAAGACUUGCUGUUCUUAUCCUCAGCAGAGCCUCCAGUUCCAACAUGAGCCCCAGCACAGUAUGUUCAUGUUGUACUCCACUGACUGUUCUUCAUUCACUACUCAAUUGGAUUCUUCAGUUGUAGGCAGUAGAAUCCACCUCCGCCUAACUUAGCAGGAGUUAAUUUAUUGGAAAGGAAUUAGAAGCUCACAGAACCGAUGGAAUUCUAGAGAACCAGCCUUGGGAACAGAUUAGUGGAAACUAAGGCAACUCUUGGGGGCUAGGAAGCAGAAUUGCAGGAGUGACCUGAUCAACAGAUUACCACUGGGAUGAUUGAACCCAGUCUGUUCUUUCAUCCUUGAAUGUUACUUGCCCAAGAUUUAAGAGUCCUGGAGAAAGCAUCUAGUUGGUGAAACCUAGGUCAUGCUGGAUGUACCAGGGGUGAGAGUAGGGAUUUAUAGUAUUUGCAAGAACCUCCAGGAAUCCCUUUGGCAUCCAUUAGUGGGAGGGUAGUCAUAUGGAGUUACAUUCUCACUGGGAUUAUACAAGGGCAGGUAAUUCUCCAACAGGAAAUUAGGACGUGGGGAGAGAUGGAUGCUGAGCAGCCAAAAUGAAAUACCUCCUCCAGACCCCUUGUCAACAUUAAAUAACUUAAUGACUCUUUACAUUCUAGUAGUUUACUUAUAUAAGACAAAUAAUGACAGUUUGUUUAGUGCUUUUCUCAGUAGAAUUUGUAUUGUGUCUGAUAUUGGCCCUUUACAUGCUGCUCCUUUAAUUAUCUCAACAGUCUUGUGAUAUAGGCAG
ensembl:lncRNA novel transcript